GAACUUUCAUUUUUCUGCCCACAGUUUUCAAAUUUCAAAUUUUUUACCUCUCAUUCCCUCUUUUUUUUAUCUUCAUGCCCGGGCCAUCCCUUCUUCUUCUUCUUCUUCUUCUUCUUGUUAUGUCUCCACCUCCCUCUUCCUUCUGCACUGCAGACACAAAGAUAGAGCCCAUAUCGAGGCUGAAUUGAAGUUCACAAUGUUUGGGACGGCAUUCCUCGGAAUCCUCUCCUUCCCUUUGCUUCGUUAGGACUGAAUUGAUGAUUACUUUGCUGUGAUCAAGUGAAGGAUCUCGAUAGAGACCAAGAAGAUGUUCAUUAUCGAGAUUUCGUGGGACACGAAUGAGGACCGACUUAGGGAGUGUAAGGAGAGUUUCGGGGAGGUCAUCGAGGCUGUGAUAAUGAAAGAUCGAGUCGCCGUCACGCCCGUGGGUUUGGGUUCUUGGUCUUUACCGAUCCUUUUAUUGCAGAGAGAGCUAUCCUCAAGAAGCACAUCAUAGAGAAAUUUGCCUCGGAGCAGUCGGGACUUGGGUAGUGGGUUCAUGAACCUUAAGAGGCCAUCGGCCUUUCCCGGGGUCGUGUAAUAUGAAUGAAUUCUUAAAUAAUUAUGUAAUAUUACUUUGGGAAUAUGUAAAAUAUCGUUGUCGAUUAUUGAUAGUA